rnacentral:lncRNA from 1 species
CUUUACUCCAUGCUAGUUACAGAGUUUUGAGACGGACUUUUAGGCGCAACUCCACUUUUGUGAAGGCAGUUGUGUCACAUCUUUCUGCGACAGGAUAAUCACCGACUCCAGUUGUUGGGCACGCGGCUGCAUCUCCUCCUGUUCCCAGAUGUAGUGCGCUCUUUUGGGAAAUGAAACGUGCACAUUUUCGCUAGAGAUUUCAAUUAUCCUCUCCGCGUGGUCUUAUUCACAGCUUGAGUUUUUCCUGCCACAUUCGUGGCCACACAGGAGGAGACCGUGGGGAGGAAAACUCGGUCGGUUGCUCCAAGUUGGAUGUGGUUCAGGGUGACCCGACAUUGGACGCUGUAAUAACAUGGACUGUUCUUUCCCGUUGUUGUGAACUUU